rnacentral:rRNA from 1 species
CCUACGGGAGGCAGCAGUGAGGAAUAUUGGUCAAUGGACGAGAGUCUGAACCAGCCAAGUAGCGUGAAGGAUGACGGCCCUAUGGGUUGUAAACUUCUUUUAUAAAGGAAUAAAACGCGUCACGUGUGCCGUUUUGCAUGUACUUUAUGAAUAAGGAUCGGCUAACUCCGUUCCAGCAGCCGCGGUAAUACGGAGGAUCCGAGCGUUAUCCGGAUUUAUUGGGUUUAAAGGGAGCGUAGAUGGGUUGUUAAGUCAGUUGUGAAAGUUUGCGGCUCAACCGUGAAAUUGCAAUUGAUACUGGCAGUCUUGAGUGCGGUGAAGGUAGGCGGAAUUCGUGGUGUAGCGGUGAAAUGCUUAGAUAUCACGAAGAACCCCGAUUGCGAAGGCAGCAUACUAAACUGUGACUGACAUUGAUGCUCGAAAGUGUGGGUAUCAAACAGGAUUAGAUACCCCAGUAGUC